rnacentral:rRNA from 1 species
UACAGAGGUCCCAAGCGUUAAUCGGAAUUACUGGGCGUAAAGUGUGCGCAGGUGGCUGAGCAAGUCGAGUGUGAAAUCCCCGGGCUUAACUUGGGAAUUGCGCUCGAAACUACUUGGCUCGAGUGUGGCAGAGGAAGGUGGAAUUCCAGGUGUAGCGGUGAAAUGCGUAGAGAUCUGGAGGAACACCGAUGGCGAAGGCAGCUUUCUGGGCCAACACUGACGCUCAUGCACGAAAGCGUGGGGAGCAAACAGG